UACGUAGGGUGCAAGCGUUACUCGGCCUUACUGGGCGUAAAGCGUGCGCAGGCGGUUGUGCGAGGCAGAUGUGAAAUCCCCGGGCUUAACCUGGGAAUGGCAUUUGUGACUGCACGGCUAGAGUGUGUCAGAGGGGGGUAGAAUUCCACGUGUAGCAGUGGAAUGCGUAGAUAUGUGGAGGAAUACCGAUGGCGAAGGCAGCCCCCUGGGAUAACACUGACGCUCAUGCACGAAAGCGUGGGGAGCAAACAGG
rnacentral:rRNA from 1 species